UUUCCGUAGGUGAACCUGCGGAAGGAUCAUUAUUGUAUAACCGAGGUCCAAGCGCUGUUGCUGACCCGACUUGUCGCGUACGCCCGUCAGCCCUCACCCACAUCCAUCUCACCCCUAUGCGCACCACCGCGUGGCUCCCCUUCUGUAUUGAUCGUCGGGGGGCUACCGUUUUUAAACCAACUCUGUCUGCAACGUAGCAUGUAUUUUUUGUUUUUGCGAUCAAGCCAUCAAUACAACUUUCCACAACGCAUCACUUGACUCACCCAUCGAUGAAGAACA
rnacentral:misc_RNA from 1 species